GGGCAGUUCAGAGGUCAACUGAAACUACCGUGCUAACUCAGCUGUUAAGGGUGGCAGCAGGAGAUGGAGUCUGCUUGGUGUGUUCCUCUGUUCCCAGAGGGAACAAAGGACAGUCUCAAACAUGGAAAAUGUUUCAGUGAGCAGCAUCACCCUGUGCUAAAAUGUUGCCUGGCUGUCUGUGGUUUUAUCGUCACGCAUCAUGACCUUCGCUGGUGAGCUUGU